UUUGAGAGGAUACAAGGUUCUUCUGCUAAAGGAGUUGCUAUCAGAGCAGUCUCUCUUUAACACUGGUGUUAGUCCAGCCAAUCUUAGAAGUGAGGAGUUUUUCAUUCCUCUUCUUGAUGCUUUUUUAUUAGCCUUUCACUGACGUGGAAUCUUUCCAUAGCGACGAUGAAGCUUGAAGAGAUAAAAAAGUUGCUGAGGGGA
rnacentral:lncRNA from 1 species